GACGAACGCUGGCGGCGUGCUUAACACAUGCCAGUCGAACGGAAAGGCCUCAGCUUGCUGGGGUACUCGAGUGGCGAACGGGUGAGUAACACGUGGGUGAUCUGCCUUGCACUCUGGGAUAAGCUUGGGAAACUGGGUCUAAUACCGGAUAUGAACUGCCUUUAGUGUGGUGGUUGGAAAGUUUUUUCGGUGCAAGAUGAGCUCGCGGCCUAUCAGCUUGUUGGUGGGGUAAUGGCCUACCAAGGCGUCGACGGGUAGCCGGCCUGAGAGGGUGUACGGCCACAUUGGGACUGAGAUACGGCCCAGACUCCUACGGGAGGCAGCAGUGGGGAAUAUUGCACAAUGGGCGGAAGCCUGAUGCAGCGACGCCGCGUGGGGGAUGACGGCCUUCGGGUUGGAAACUCCUUUCGACAGGGACGAAGCUUUUUGUGACGGUACCUGUAUAAGAAGCACCGGCUAACUACGUG
rnacentral:rRNA from 1 species